rnacentral:rRNA from 1 species
UACGGAGGGUGCGAGCGUUGUCCGGAAUCAUUGGGCGUAAAGGGCACGUAGGUGGCCCGGUCAGUCCGUGGUGAAAGCGCGGGGCUCAACCCCGCGUCGGCCAUGGAUACUGCUGGGCUGGAGCACUGUAGAGGCAGGCGGAAUUCCUGGUGUAGCGGUGAAAUGCGCAGAUAUCAGGAGGAACACCGGUGGCGAAGGCGGGUCUCUGGGCCGUAACUGACGCUGAGGAGCGAAAGCCAGGGGAGCAAACGGG